GACAGAGGGGGCAAGCGUUGCUCGGAAUUACUGGGCGUAAAGGGCGCGUAGGCGGGAUGGCAAGUCGGUCGUGAAAUCCUUCGGCUCAACCGAAGAACGUCGAUCGAUACUGCUGUUCUUGAGGGUUGCAGAGGAGACUGGAAUUCCCGGUGUAGCGGUGAAAUGUGUAGAGAUCGGGAGGAACACCGGUGGCGAAGGCGGGUCUCUGGGCAAUUCCUGACGCUGAGGCGCGAAAGCCAGGGGAGCAAACGGG
rnacentral:rRNA from 1 species